UGACUCGAUAUCACUAUAAUAUAUCGAUUCCAAGGUUUUUGACCAUUCCGAAGUUGUUUCUGCCCUCAGUUUUACCAUCCGAGGACGUAUUUAACCGCUGGGAUUAGCUCAUUGUGAGUGACUUCAACCAAGACCAUCGAGGUAAAGACAAGGCGGUUGACGGCGGAGCUGAGG